rnacentral:rRNA from 1 species
UGAGGAAUAUUGGACAAUGGGCGCAAGCCUGAUCCAGCAAUGCCGCGUGCAGGAUGAAGGCCUUCGGGUUAUAAACUGCUUUUGUACGGAACGAAACGGCUCUGUCUAAUACAUGGGGCUGAUGACGGUACCGUAAGAAUAAGCACCGGCUAACUACGUGCCAGCAGCCGCGGUAAUACGUAGGGUGCAAGCGUUAAUCGGAAUUACUGGGCGUAAAGCGUGCGCAGGCGGUGAUGUAAGACAGAUGUGAAAUCCCCGGGCUCAACCUGGGACCUGCAUUUGUGACUGCAUAGCUAGAGUACGGCAGAGAGGGAUGGAAUUCCGCGUGUAGCAGUGAAAUGCGUAGAUAUGCGGAGGAACACCGAUGGCGAAGGCAAUCCCCUGGGCCUGUACUGACGCUCAUGCACGAAAGCGUGGGGAGCAAACA